UACGUAGGGACCGAGCGUUGUCCGGAAUCAUUGGGCGUAAAGAGCGUGUAGGCGGCCACUUAAGUCCUGCGUGAAAUCUUGCGGCUCAACCGCAAGCGGUCGUGGGAAACUGGGUGGCUAGAGUGCGGGAGAGGAGAGUGGAAUUCCAGGUGUAGCGGUGAAAUGCGUAGAUAUCUGGAGGAACACCGGUGGCGAAGGCGGCAUCCUGGACCGAUAUUGACGCUGAGGCGCGAAAGCCAGGGGAGCAAACGGG
rnacentral:rRNA from 1 species